rnacentral:rRNA from 1 species
ACGUAGGGCGCAAGCGUUAUCCGGAAUUACUGGGCGUAAAACGUGCGUAGGUGGUUCGUUAAGUCUGAUGUGAAAGCCCUGGGCUCAACCUGGGAAUGGCAUUGGAAACUGGCGACCUAGAGUGCGGUAGAGGGUAGUGGAAUUCCCGGUGUAGCAGUGAAAUGCGUAGAGAUCGGGAGGAACACCAGUGGCGAAGGCGGCUACCUGGACCAGCACUGACACUGAGGCACGAAAGCGUGGGGAGCAAACGGGA